rnacentral:lncRNA from 10 species
GGGACCAGCAAGCAGAGAUGUCCUUCCGUGCCACGAAGAAACAGUCUCUGCUGUGGCCCUAUGGAGUGCCGGCUGCUCACGGCUGUAAAUAGAAUCCAGCAUUUGUAUUGUCACCAGAGAGCACAGCUGUAUUGGUGAAGAGCCUUUACACAGAGGACACCCAUGACCCAGGGCACGGGCAGCUCUCGAGGCCCACCUACCAGUCCUGACUCAUCACCUCCAGCUCAGAUCAUCAUCUGCCCCAGCCCUGUUGGGUCAACCCUAAUCUGCAGCCCAGUACCUGCUUUCUGGAGGGGAGAAAUCAAAUCCUUGCUUCCAGGCUGCCAUCCCCAGCCCCCCCGUCCAGUGCCCAAGGAAAGCCAGGAGGAGCAAAACUUACCAUCAAGGCCAGCGUCCGGAUCUCCUAAAAAACCAACACCAGGCAAUCAGUUGAAGAGCAAACCAAGAGCCAAGUGGAAGGUUCUCACUGCACAGUCAUGGAAACAUGGGAGCUAGGCCCCUCAAAGGAGCGUGGGUGGAGGGAGACGCUUGCAGGUGGGCUCCAUGGCCCCCAGACUCACACCACCCCCACCCCACCUCUCGCUGAGGUUUGUAAUCACUGGAGAGAGAAUACGUAGCAUCUCCUAAGCAUGAUUAUACUCUGAGGCCGUCCUACAAUGGACUCAGGCACACCCUAAAUGGACUGCAACCUUUACUUCACUUUACUGAAGGGAAGGAAGCACCACCUCUUAUUCUUUCUAGUCACCUUCUGAGGACCCUCCCUUGUUCUUUCCUCUUCUCCCAGAACCCAGAUUUCAAAGUUGCCACGCACCUCCCUUUAAACAGACACAAUAUAGCAAAAUAUGGAACCACUCAAAAAAUAGAUCAGGGAGAUGAUUGUUGGCUUUAAAAGAGGAUUUUACACCUUGUAAAUGGAGUCACAUACGGACACAGACUCCUUUGAAGAAGUGGUUCUUGAGCAGGGGCAAUUUCUUCCCCCAAGGGAUAACUGGUCAUGUCUGGAGACAUAGUUUGGUUGUCACAGCUGAGGCUCGGGUGCUACUGGCAUCUAGCAGGUAGAGACUGGGGACGCUGCUGCACAUCCUACAACACACAGGACCGACUCUCCCCCCACCACAAAGAUUCUCUAGCCCCAAAAGUCAGUGCCAAGGCUGGGAAACCCUGCUUUAAAGGGUGGGGAGCGGGAGCUCAUGAACUUGAAACAGGGUUAAACUGACACGAAAGGAGAUGCGUUCCAGGAAGAUUUGCUGCUGCAUGAAAGGGGGUUAUACAUGCAUUAAAGAAAUGGGGCCCCAGCACCCUGCAUGGGCCGUAACUUGUGGGGUGCCAGGAUAAUUCCACUAUGGCACUCAGGGGCCCUGAGGCAGGAUAACUGGCCAGCUGGGCCCAGACAGAGAGCCCCGGCCACCUGGAUGCCAGUAAUGGGGCCAUUUCCCAGGAGGCUACACAGCGGGAGGUCAAAGGAGAGAAAGCGAGGAAGCAGCUCUCCUGGAAGCGCUGCCUGAGGGCCUGAGGGCAGGGCCCCUACUCGGCUGUGUGGAAGGGCCCCCUGAUCAGGGCAUGGUGCAGAGCCUGAGAUCCAUGAGGAUCUUGGCCUCUGGGCUGGACCCUGCUCACCUGGAGAGCCUCAUUGAUGUUUCCAUUGUAAUCCACCAUCUCUCCUUUCCCUGGUUCUCCCUUGGAGCCCUGGAAGGCAAAUGAGAUCUCAACCCACGGCCUGGACCGGGAGGGCCGGGAGGGCAACUGUGGCCUGCUCUCUAUCAGCCCACACUGGCUGCACCUAGCUGCACAUGGGUGGACCCAGAACAGCCAGCGGGGCCCUGGGGAUUCUGAACACUCUCAGAGGAUGCUCGGGGAUUGCAGAACAAAUCGAGAAGACUCCAUGUGAGAAGUCUGGGCUAGGCCGACCUGGGAAGAUUGGGUCCACCUGUGCUGCCAGUCAGACCUCCCACCUGAGGGCCAGAAUGCUCUUCCCCUCCUGCCUCGUCAAGACCCCAAGGUCAAGCCUGUGAAAGGGACAUAAAAACUUGGGACCCCAGUUCACUCUGCCAAAAGAAAAAAAGUUCAGCUGAAAGCUGAGUCAUGCAAGAAGCUGCCUUUCCUUUUGUUCCUAAUCAGACAGCUACAGAUAAAAGGUUAAAUAUCCCCACAGGUAGCUGCUCCAUGUUCACCACAGCUUACAUAAAGUGCCGAUUUACUGAGCGUGAGACUAAUACAUAAUCAACUAUUCCGCUACUUGCUCCUUUUCCCUUGCAGUGUGUGGAUUACCAUACCCUUCCUCUUUCCCCUCCAGCCUGCUUUUCCCCUUUAAAUAUUGAAGCCCUCAAAAUCAUCUUUGGCAAAAGGCACAGACCUGUCUCUUGGGCACGUGCCCUUAACCUUGGCAAAAUAAACUUCUAAAUAUUAAUUGAGACCUGUCUCAGAUGCUUUUUUGAUUUACCAGCCGCUUCACGCUGUGACUCCAGGAGGGAGAGGCACAUACCUUGGGGCCAUCUGGUCCCUGUUCUCCAGCUGCUCCACGCUCCCCCUGUUGCAUGACAAAAUUGGAGCAAAGUGGGGAUAAAGUUGGUACAGAGAGCCUGAUGUCCCUAGAUGGGCCAUGUGAUAAGGGCCAGGAGGCUCAUCUUAGCUCUUAGUCCAUAGAAGUGCAGGUUCCACCCCUUCAGGAAACAUCCAGGGAACACCCACCCACACUCCUGUCCCUCUGAGUCCCUCUGGGCUGCCUCCCACUUCAGACUCGGUGGCGUUCUUUCUGUUCUGUGUUCAUUGUUAGGGACUCCCCUUUGUCUCUCUCACACCUUUUCCCCAGUCCCCUAAGUCAGUUGCCUCCAUUGGAGCAGGGACGUUUGCUUCUCUUUAAUUCCAUCCUGCUCAGGUAUCCAGGACUCAGCAGCUUUUUGCCAAUUGUCUGGGUGUCAGUUGCCAUCGAGAGCCCACACAGUUCUUUUGCUGCCUACUCUACUUGUGAAAGACCCAGAAUGCCGAGUGAAAUGUGGAGGGCCAGGAGGGUCUCAGGAGGACAUGGGUGUAUGAGCACCCACCUCCCAGAGUGGGCGGGUGGAAGGAUUUGUUCCUGUUGCAAACAGGACAGAGCCAUGGAGAAUAAAUGAAAAAGCAGUGUAACUUGUGAAAAACCAAGCGCAGUUUCAAUUUUUCUGGGAUAAAGACAAUUGAAAAAAAUCAAGAUAGAAAGUAAAAAUAAAGGAAACAGGAACACUUUGGUGUGACUCCUGAUGAACCUGCUCACGGGACGUGGAGCCACUGCUGCCUCCAGGUAACCCACUCUCUUUCUCCUCCACUGCCACAACACUUUAGCCACUGUGAACUCAUGAGGGACACAGCAGCCUUUCACAGGGAGUAGCUGGAGAGAAGCAAGAGCCCCUCGUUUACCAAUGGCUCGGGAAGCUCUGUGUCACUCCCUGGUCAAAUGUCCCAUCCCUAGACUGGCUUUUGCAUGACUGCUGUCUCAGUGCAUGGCUCUCUAAAGCCCAAGCCAACCAGGAAUUAGGGAAGCCAGUGGUCAUGGCCGGUCAGCCUUGUGCCCUGAGGGAUACCCCUAGGGUCGGCCGGGAUGAUUCUUGACCUCCCAAGCUGACCCUCAUCUUGCAGCUCUGGGAUGUGGGGGUCUCUGUACCUUGUCUCCUGGCUGCCCUGGGGGGCCAACCUGGCCAUCGACACCUGCUUCUCCCUGGGGAAGAGGAGAGAGUUGGGAUGAGGGCAUGCUGGGCACCUGGACAGCUGCUUAUGAGGGAAAAGAUGGUCUUGCCGCUCAUGCCUAGAUGUUGCCUUGGACUUCUCUUUCCCUGAUGGCUUCUGCACCUCCCACUCUUCCACCUCCCUGACUCCUACCCAUGCUUGGGCCCAGCCUGGGUCUUGCUUCCUCUGGAAGCCCACUCCUGCUUUCCUUCCCUGCAUUCUGUACCCUUUACUGGUGUCCACUCUGCCCUGCCAGGCCCUCCUAGGCCCACACAGAGCCCAGCCCAUGGCAGGUGGAUAUGGGCGGAAUGAAUGAGUGUAUUGCCCCAGAUGAUGUAGAGUAAUUCAUGCUUUCCUUCUGAGCUAAGAAACAGACCCCCUUCAUUUCUCAGUGCUGCUAAAGUAAACCAAGCAACAUAGGAGCCAUCUGCUUUGGGGAACCCAAAUCUUACCAUUGCACUUUUCAAGCAGCAAAAGGAAAGUGAGGGCAGUUUCCAUUUGCAGCUGCCUCCACUGCUGCCACCUACCAGAUGUGCUGGUACCAGGUGGGGCCAGCUGAUAGUUGACCUGCAACCUACUCAGAGCCAAGGUGGGGGGCCUCUUGCCUGUCCUAAGGCCCUGAAGCCAUUGGUCCCUUGCUCAGUUACAGCAUGGCCAUCAAGGUCCUGCAGCCAUCAAUCCUUGACUCAGUUACAGCAUAGCCAUGAAGGUCCUGCAGCCAUUGCGCCCUGACUCAGUUACAUCAGAGUCAUCUGAAUCACUGGGACCAUCCAUCUGCCCCAGGGAAGACAUCUCCUCUGAAAGGUCAAACUGUUAUCUGCUUGCAAGCAGGAGCUGGGUCCAAAUGGCCUUUUUGGAAUCCAUGGGGAAAACCACACAUCUGGAGCAGGGGAAGGCUAGAGAAGGCGGGAUGUCCGGGACGUAGAGUCCCCGAGAACAGGCUGAAGACAAAGUCCCCAGGUAAGCACCUCCCCAACACCAAUUCCAGGGAACACUCACCUUUGGCCCUGGGGGCCCAGGGAGCCCUGGAGGGCCAGGUUCCCCUCUGCCUCCUCCAAUGGAGUUGCCAGCAUCGCCUUUCUCUCCCUGGGGGUGGAAGGUGGAGUUAGCAUCCCUGGUGUGGAGGAAGGUCUAGGCUGAGCACUGGAGGGACACUAUGGGGUGUGGGCCCCAGGAUGUCUGGGGACCAGGGGCCUUCAGAAUCCCAGAUUUAUCUGAUCCAGCUGUGGGAUUUGAAGAGAGAUUGGAAGUGUUUACUGAAGGGCAGCAGGUUUAGAGCUGACACAAGGGAUCCUUCAAAACUGGGUCUGGAGCCGUGUUUCUCAAAGUGUAUUCCACGGAACACUGUUCAGUGGGUUGAGAAUAUUCAAAAUGUGGAAUAACAUUAUUAUUGGUGGCCAAACUAUGUAAGAAAUGAAACAUUAAAUAAGCUUUGCAGACCCCAUCACUGCAGGGUGCUCAGGCCUCUAACAGGCUGAGGAGCACUGUGACUUUCCAAGGGUCCCAUCUUA